UGGUAUUCACAAAACAGAUUUAUAUUAUCAAAAUUAGAUUUAUAAACUGACUCCUCACAACUGUAUCCAACACCACAAUAUUCAGGUCCAGGAAGGAUAUUUACCAUCACGUUAUCUCCAAAGAAACUCUAAGUAUAUUGCUGCUGCCGGAGAAGAAAGAAUGAAAGAAAACUGUCCUCAGCUCUACUCAUUAAUAUUCUGCACUGUGCUCAUGGUAUCCUGGGGGUCCAGGCCACUCCAGACACAGGACCAGGAAUAGGAUUAGAGGGUUCAAGAAAUCAGAAGUAAGGUUCAAGAUUCAAGAAUAUAUGGAUAAAAGAAAAAAGAGUUAAAGAUACAGGAGGUAUGAUUACAGGGUUCUAGAAUACAGAGAUAUACAGUACUAGCCUUUCAAGACACUUCGCGCCCAUCUUCUUUUUCAAUUGUGAACAUGUUAUCUUUGUAAAACAAAAUUGUAAAACAAAAACAAACAAAAAAUGAAUUUUGUUAGAGGCAAAUUUUUGAAAAUUCGAUCAUCCAUAAACCAUCCCUAGCGUCACUUGAGGUCCUACAAAACAUUUGGGCCCGAUCGGUUCAGCGGUUUUGACGUUUAUUGGAUACAAACAAACAGACAGACAAUCAAAGUAUAUAUAUAUACUAAAGGGUUCUUGGAUACAGGAGAUAGGAUUACAUGAUUCCAGGAUAUAGGAGUUAGGAUUACUGUCCAGGAUAAAAGAGGUAGUAUUACGGGGUUCCAGGAUACAGGAGCUAGGAUGAUAGGAUUACUGGGCUACAGAAUACUGGGUUCCAGGAUACAGGGGAUAGAAUUACGGGGUUCAAGGAUACAGGAGCUAGGAUACCUGGGUUCCAGGAUACAGGAGAUAGAAUUACGGGGUUCCAGGAUACAGGAGAUAGGAUACCUGGGUUCCAGGAUAUAGGAGAUAGAUUUACUACAGAAUAAAGAGGAUAAUUACAAGAUUUUGUUUAAUUCAAGAAUAAAAUUGAGGAGAAAGAAACUAGUCGAAACUAAACCAAAGGAAACUUUAUUUCUUCUCUGAAGUUUGACUAAAAUAAUUCUAGAAUGCUCUUUCUAUUUCAAGGAUUUUGGUUUGUUUACUUUACAUUGAGAGAAUUUGACGAAACUAGAAGAUUCACAUCUUGUUAGUGGAACCAGAGGAUAUUUUAUCCUAUAUUCUGCAUCCUGUAUCCUGUAUCCUGUAACCUGGUUCACAUCUUGUCAGUGGAACCACAGGGAUAUUUUAUCCUGUAAACUGUAUCCUGUAUCCUGGUUCAAAUCUUCUUAGUGAAACCAGAGGUUUAUUUUAUCCUGUAUUCUAUUUCCCGGAUAUUUUAUCAUGCAUCCUGCAUCCAAUAUCCUGAAUAUUUUGGCAUGCAUCCUAUAUCCUGGAUAUUUUAUCAUGCAUCCUGUAUCCAAUAUCCUGAAUAUUUGAUCAAAAAUCCUGUAUCCUGUAACCUGGAAAUUUUAUCAUGCAUCCUAUAUCCUGGAUAUUUUAUCAUGCAUCCUGUAUCCAAUAUUCUGAAUAUUUUAUGAAGAAUUCUGUAUCCUGUAUCCAUGAUAUUUUAUCAAGAAUAUUGUAUCUUAUAUCUUGGAUAUUUAUCAAGAAUCCUGUAUCCUUGAUAUUUAUCUAUAGUCCUGUAUCCUAUAUUCUAUAUCCUGGAUAUGUUAUCAUGCAUCCUGAAUCCUAUUUCCUGGAUAUUUUUGCAAGAAUCGUGUAUCCUGUAUCCUGUGUCCUGAAUCCUAUUUCCUGUAUCCUGUAUCCUGUAUCCUGUAUCCUGUAUCCUG